rnacentral:misc_RNA from 1 species
UGCACUCCAAGCUAAAACCUUGAGUGCCAUAUAUUCAAUUUGAACAAUACCAUAUAUAUUGCUCUAGUCAUCUUCAAAAGCAAUUGAAUAGCAAUAGAACCCUAAGACCAUUUGCAUGACAUUUCAUUUCAGUUCCUUCCCAUGCUUUCUGUAUUACAUAGCCUGGUAACAUAUAAUCAAAAUUUGGCAUGCCGCAUGGAAAAAUGCAUGCUGAGGAGAUUGACUGAUGCAACACUAACUAUUGGAUUUGAGGAGAUUGACUGAUGCAACACUAACUAUUGGAUUGUACAUACCCUAGUUUACAGGGGCAAUAGCCAUUUUUCUUUCAGGGAAACGUAAGAAUUUUCAUUUUUCAGACAACCACAAUAUUUGACAGCAUCUGAUUGAUCCAUAUGAUAACAACGUCCACAACAUAUUUAUAACCAUCUUACAACAGGAAAUUAAAAACACACAUGAAUGGCUAACCACAACAGUUGUUCUUCUGCUGGAUUGGCUGCCCCUUCAUUUGAACAGUUGUUCCUGUUGACUUGCUUGCAGCUGGCUGGCUACCCAUUUUUUUCUUAAUUUCUCCAGCCAUGGUUAAGAAAGCCUGCUCCACAUUAAUUGAAUCUUUAGCACUUGUCUCUAGGAAAGGAAUUCCUAGCUCAUCUGCAAAUGCCUGCAUUUCACAGAUAUUCAAUUCAUCCUCAAGGCAUAAGUUAUCAAGAUCACAAUAAUUUAGAAUCAAUUAAUUAACCUCAAAGGUCACUACUUCAUUGAAAGUUGAAACCAACAAAAAAAAACUUGAUUCAAAUACAUCCAAAGACCUUUUUUAUUCUUCACACAUCAAAAUACACAAGCACAAAAUACCCUUUUGAUAUGGAUAUGCGAUGCCAAAAUACACCCUUUAAGUGAAAAUUUCCCACUAUUUCAAGAAAUGUGGUUCAAUGCAUUUUUACCUGUGUUACUAAGAUUCACCAUAGGGAACAGCUUUUCAUUGCUGUAAACAUUGAGCCGAUUCCACAUGUGAAGGACUAAGUAAUGGUAAUAUAUUCCAACAACUCCAGCAACCAUUUUUGUAUUUAAUUAUCUACUAGCAAAUAGGAGCAUGAAUUACUAGCUAAGUUUAGUAUGUAGAUCAACAUAGAUUUUCCCAUUGUUGAGCACAGCUGGUCAAAAGAAACUGUAAACAAAAGAAUGCAUAAGGCAACAAAUGUAACCAACUAUACCUUUGCAGUUUGUGUGUCCACAACCUUGUUAUCAACUAGAUCACAUUUAUUUCCAACUAAAAGCUUGCACACACUAUCAUUUGCAUAUCUAUCAAUCUCAUUUAACCACUGCUUGACAUUGUUGAAGCUCUCCAUCUCAGUAACAUCAUAGACUAUCUGUGACAAUUGCCAUACAAAUUACAAAUCUCAGGCCCUUGAAAUUUACUUAAUAUAGGAUGUUUGGAAUUGAAAAAACAUCAAUAAAAAGCAGUACAAACGUAACGUUCAGAAAUUAAACCAUAAGAUUGACAAUUAUAAUCAAUAUACUCCUUAUUAUCAACAUAAAACACUGAGAAAAAGGGUACAGGAAAGAGCAAUAUAGAGCAUGAAGCUGGAACCCAACAAUGCAGUUACAAAAAGAAAAAAAAAGCUACAGCAUAAUCAUAUGCUGCUAAUAAAAAAUACAAGCAUAAGCAGUAAGAAACCCAAGUUCAUUUGAAG